UCACGCUCUUUCUCUCUCAAACAUUAAAAAAAUAAAAUAAUAAAAUCUUUAAAAAAAGAAAAUCUACCAGAUAAAUGAAAUUUAACAGAAUGAAUAGAUUUACAACCAACAAACAAUAAGAAAAAGUAAAAAAUUAAAUCUCUGGCUUGAAAUCUGUCUAGCCCUUCUAACCCUGCCCCAGCCCCAGACUUUUAGUAAUAGCUGAUAAUUCUCAGGAAAAUUCAAGGAAAGAUAAUCCAGCAUUUUACGGUUUUUCCCAAAAAUCGACACGGGGGGUGGAUAAUUCAUGAUUUGUAUUUAUGAACAUAGGUUAAAAUGUACUAAAUCUAAUAGCAAAAUGAAUUCAACAAUGUGGAGGUUUUUUUUUUUUUAAAGCCAUGACAAUACGUGUAGCAGACUACUAGUCAUGAACCCAAUGUCCCUUUAUUACCAACAGAGUCACUGUGCCUUUUUAUUUUAAAGUUUAUUUAUUUAUAUUGAGGCAGGGGAGGGGCAGAGAGAGAGGGAGAGAGAGAAUCCCAAGCAGGGUCUGCACUGCCGACACGGGGCCUGAACCCAUGAACCAGUGAGAUCAUGACCUGAGCUGAAAUCAAGAGCCGGACCCACUCAACUGACUGAGCGACUCAGGUGCCCAAUCACUGUAGUUUUCAUACUGACAAUGAGCUCAGCCAAAAAGUUACAUUUCUCCAUUGUUUUUGUAGUGAAGUGUCUUGCUACUAAAUUCUGAGUAAUGAAGUAGGGGUUGCUGACCGUGUCUGAUGGAAAGGCUGUAAAGAAAACAAUAGGGAAAGCCCCCUAGUGUUCUGGAAUCAUUUCCCACUUUAAUACACAACACACGUGAUGGUUGGAGAUCGAGCAUCCAUCGUGGAACCUGGAUUCGUCUCAAGGACAGCAGCCACCUGCGCCCGUGCUUUCUGGUAGGAAGAGUGUUGGAUCUGUUAUAUGCAGCUGAAUGUCACCCUAUAAAAAUACACUAUGAUGUUUGGGAGAUUUAGUAUUUAGAAAAUCUUCAUAAAAUUAAUCACACUACCAGAUAAAAGAAAGGCCAUGUGAUUAUCUCAAUAUGUGUAGAUAACACAUUGGAUGGAAUGUAAUACUCUAGAUGAUUUUUAAAUAUUAUUAAAUUAGGAAUGGAAAUUAAAUCCUUUAACUUUGCAAACAGAAUGUUCCAAAACUGGACAUAUGUCCUUAUUGGUAGAUAUAUGCCAUUAUAUUAAGAAAAUUA